GACGAACGCUGGCGGCGUGCUUAACACAUGCAAGUCGAACGGAGAGGCCCCUUUGGGGGUACUCGAGUGGCGAACGGGUGAGUAACACGUGAGUAACCUGCCCUUGACUUCGGGAUAACUUCAGGAAACUGGGGCUAAUACCGGAUAGGAAUCCUUGCUGCAUGGUGGGGGUUGGAAAGCUUCGGCGGUUUUGGAUGGACUCGCGGCUUAUCAGCUUGUUGGUGGGGUAGUGGCUUACCAAGGCUUUGACGGGUAGCCGGCCUGAGAGGGCGACCGGCCACAGUGGGACUGAGAUACGGCCCAGACUCCGACGGGAGGCAGCAGGGGGGAAUAUUGCACAAUGGGCGGAAGCCUGAUGCAGCAACGCCGCGUGCGGGAUGACGGCCUUCGGGUUGUAAACCGCUUUCAGCAGGGGCGAAGCUUGUGGUGACGGUACCUGCAGAAGAAGCACCGGCUAACUACGUG
rnacentral:rRNA from 1 species